rnacentral:rRNA from 1 species
UACGAGGGGGGGCGAGCGUUUGUUCGGAAUUAUUGGGCGUAAAGGGUGCGUAGGCGGUUUGGUAAGUCUUAUGUGAAAUCUACAGGCUCAACUUGUAGUCUGCAUGAGAAACUGCCGGGCUUUGAGUAUGGGAGAGGUGAGUGGAAUUCCUGGUGUAGCGGUGAAAUGCGUAGAUAUCAGGAGGAACACCUGUGGCGAAAAGCGGCUCACUGGACCAUAACUGACGCUGAUGCACGAAAGCUAGGGGAGCAAACAGG